rnacentral:rRNA from 1 species
UACGUAGGCAGCGAGCGUUGUUCGGAGUUGCUGGGCGUAAAGGGUGUGUAGGCGGUUGGUUAAGUUUGGUGUGAAAUCUCCCGGCUUAACUGGGAGGGUGCGCCGAAGACUGGAAGGCUGGAGUAUGGGAGAGGUAAGCGGAAUUCCUGGUGUAGCGGUGAAAUGCGUAGAUAUCAGGAGGAACACCUGCGGUGUAGACGGCUUACUGGACCAUAACUGACGCUGAGGCACGAAAGCGUGGGUAGCAAACAGG